AACGAGUGGCUCCAAAAACUUCUUCCUUUGUCAAAGACUGGAGCUGUUAUUCAUCAUGGCCAUAGAACCAGAGUCAGGAAACACGGCCUAGGCAAUAACAAUUAGGAUUUUCUUCAGUUAUCAAGUAUUGCCCAUUACAGAAAAUAUGGGAAACGAAGUCAGGAAGAAAAGAGAAUCACUCACGGUUCUCUCACCCAACUUUCUGGUUUUCAAAAUCUCACCUUCACUUCCUCGUGACCAGAAUGCUUGAGGCUGUCUUCUACAAACCAUUUUUUUCUCCUUGUUCUACUUAUGCUCCUUCUCCAUUUUUCCUUAUGUAUAUGCUCCUAAACUACUACUGUAUGAUCCUGGGGCUCUGUAGUGCCCCUGGCUCUCCAGAAUACUUUCUGUAAAUAUGCCUGCCACUUCUGCAACAGAUUUGGGGGUCAUUAAAGACUUUCAAAUUUAAUGAGUUAAUCCCUUUGACUUCCCAGCAAAAAGUGGGCAAAGCAGGCCAGGUGCAGUGGCUCACACCUGUAAUCCCAAAACUUCGAGAGGCCGAGGUGAGUGGAUUAUUUGAGGUCAGGAGUUCAAGACCAGCCUGGCCAACACGGUAAAACCUGUCUCUACUAAAAAUACAAAAACUAGCCAGGCGUGGUUGCGGGCACCUGUAGUCCCAGCUACUCGGGAGGCUGAGGCAGGAGAAAUGCUUGAACCCGGGAUGCAGAGCUUGCAGUGAGCCUAGCUAGGGGGAGGAGAAGAAUACAAGACACUGACUGCAGAGUUAGAGUCGAUGGGAUCUGUGUAUGUCACUGGCCAUCAGGGCAAGAAGAAAGGAAUCAAAGUUGACCUAGACGGUGAGAUCAGGUGACCACAGGAUGGUGAUGCUAUUAAGGAAGAACAAAGCAGAUGAUGAGUUCAGAGAAAGAAAACGAAAAUUGUGUUAACUUUAAUAU
rnacentral:lncRNA from 1 species